AUACGGAGGGUGCAAGCGUUAAUCGGAAUUACUGGGCGUAAAGCGCGCGUAGGCGGCUUUGUAAGUCGGAUGUGAAAGCCCUGGGCUCAACCUGGGAAUGGCAUUCGAUACUGCAGAGCUAGAGUAUGGUAGAGGGAAGUGGAAUUUCCGGUGUAGCGGUGAAAUGCGUAGAUAUCGGAAGGAACACCAGUGGCGAAGGCGACUUCCUGGGCCAAUACUGACGCUGAGGUGCGAAAGCGUGGGGAGCAAACAGGAUUAGAUACCCCGGUAGUCC
rnacentral:rRNA from 1 species